GAGUGAAGCGGCAACAGCUCAAAUUUGAAAUCUGGCCCCCUCGGGGUCCGAGUUGUAAUUUGUAGAGGGUGUUUCGGGCGCGAUGUCGGUCUAAGUUCCUUGGAACAGGACGUCGUAGAGGGUGAGAAUCCCGUAUGCGACCGGCGAUCAAGCCCGUGCGAAGCCCCUUCGACGAGUCGAGUUGUUUGGGAAUGCAGCUCAAAAUGGGUGGUAAAUUUCAUCUAAAGCUAAAUAUUGGCCAGAGACCGAUAGCGGACAAGUAGAGUGAUCGAAAGAUGAAAAGCACUUUGGAAAGAGAGUCAAACAGUACGUGAAAUUGUUGAAAGGGAAGCGCUUGCAAUCAGACCGGUCCGGAGGCGAUCAGCCGCUGCUCGUCAGCGGUGCACUCGCCUGCGAUCCGGCCAGCAUCGGUUUGGGCGGCGGGAUAAAAGUCCCGGGAAUGUAGCUUCCUCCGUGAGUCUUAUAGCCCGGGUCGCAAUGCCGCCCGCCCGGACCGAGGACCGCGCUCGGCUAGGA
rnacentral:rRNA from 1 species